rnacentral:misc_RNA from 1 species
AAAAGCUUCAAUUUUGUUUGUGAAUCUGCUAUUUUUUUGUCCUUUGAAUUGUUAACAUUUUGUUUAUAUAAAGCUUGUGUGUGUUGUCUAAUCUGAUAGAAAUUUUUGUGAUCAAUGGUGUUCUUUUGUUUGAGUAAUGAAGUAAACGGGGUGUGUCGGUGGGGUCAAUGGUCUUAAUUUUUGACGAUCCUGGAAUUUUCACUUUUGUGAUAGAAUAUUGUUUACUCUUGUGGUUGAAAUCAGUCGUAGGUGGGUGGGAAUUUGUUUCAUUGCCUUUUUUCUGCAAUAUAUACCAUGAGUCAAUUGUAUGAAAUGAGUGUUUUUAAUUAGUGGAUGAAUAGAUUCAAUUUUUGAGAA